AGUGAACGCUGGCGGUAGGCCUAACACAUGCCAGUCGAACGGCAGCACAGUAAGAGCUUGCUCUUACGGGUGGCGAGUGGCGGACGGGUGAGGAAUACAUCGGAAUCUACUUUUUCGUGGGGGAUAACGUAGGGAAACUUACGCUAAUACCGCAUACGACCUACGGGUGAAAGCAGGGAAUCUUCGGACCUUGCGCGAUUGAAUGAGCCGAUGUCGGAUUAGCUAGUUGGCGGGGUAAAGGCCCACCAAGGCGACGAUCCGUAGCUGGCCUGAGAGGAUGAUCAGCCACACUGGAACUGAGACACGGUCCAGACUCCUACGGGAGGCAGCAGUGGGGAAUAUUGGACAAUGGGCGCAAGCCUGAUCCAGCCAUACCGCGUGGGUGAAGAAGGCCUUCGGGUUGUAAAGCCCUUUUGUUGGGAAAGAAAAGCAGCAGGUUAAUACCCCGCUGUUCUGACGGUACCCAAAGAAUAAGCACCGGCUAACUUCGUG
rnacentral:rRNA from 1 species